UACAGAGGGUGCUAGCGUUGUUCGGAAUCAUUGGGCGUAAAGGGCGUGUAGGCGGUUUGUUAAGUCAUGUGUGAAAUCCCUCGGCUCAACCGGGGAACGACGCAUGAAACUGGCAAGCUAGAGUACCAAAGAGGGGGGUGGAAUUCCCGGUGUAGCGGUGAAAUGCGUAGAUAUCUGGAGGAAUACCGGUGGCGAAGGCGGCAUCCUGGACCGAGAUUGACACUGAUGAGCGAAAGCUAGGGGAGCAAACGGG
rnacentral:rRNA from 1 species